rnacentral:rRNA from 1 species
CCUACGGGAGGCAGCAGUGGGGAAUAUUGGGCAAUGGGCGCAAGCCUGACCCAGCAACGCCGCGUGAAGGAAGAAGGCUUUCGGGUUGUAAACUUCUUUUCUCAGGGACGAAGCAAGUGACGGUACCUGAGCAAUAAGCUACCGCUAACUACGUGCCAGCAGCCGCGGUAAUACGUAGGUGGCAAGCGUUAUCCGGAUUUACUGGGUGUAAAGGGCGUGUAGGCGGGAAAGCAAGUCAGAUGUGAAAACCAUGGGCUCAACCUGUGGCCUGCAUUUGAAACUGGUUUUCUUGAGUGCUGGAGAGGCAGGCGGAAUUCCUAGUGUAGCGGUGAAAUGCGUAGAUAUCAGGAGGAACAUCGGUGGCGUAAGCGCUUUACUGGGCCGUAAUUGACACUGAGGAACGAAAGCCGGGGUAGCAAAUGGGAUUAGAUACCCGUGUAGUC